rnacentral:lncRNA from 1 species
UAAUUUUUGCUUACCUGGGGAGUUUUCUAUCUGAUAGAGUACUGAGAUGGUAAUUUCCUUUACUGCUUAGGGACAGGGUUGCUCAAGAUCUAUUACAAAAUCAGGAUAAUAACAAUAUCAAAGGAACCAUCUUCCCAUUUUGACUCAAGAAAGAAAAAGUAAUGCUCAUCCAUUUAACCUCAGAGAUGUCUGAUGGCACUUUCUGCAAUCAGCACUGACAGUUCAAGGAUGAAAGUCUCAAGUGCUAUUGGACUCAGCUGGACUCAUGGGCGACUUAAAGCAAACAAAAGCCUUCAAUUUGAUAGAUGA